GAACUGAAGAGUUUGAUCAUGGCUCAGAUUGAACGCUGGCGGCAGGCCUAACACAUGCAAGUCGAGCGGAUGAAGGGAGCUUGCUCCUGGAUUCAGCGGCGGACGGGUGAGUAAUGCCUAGGAAUCUGCCUGGUAGUGGGGGAUAACGUCCGGAAACGGGCGCUAAUACCGCAUACGUCCUGAGGGAGAAAGUGGGGGAUCUUCGGACCUCACGCUAUCAGAUGAGCCUAGGUCGGAUUAGCUAGUUGGUGGGGUAAAGGCCUACCAAGGCGACGAUCCGUAACUGGUCUGAGAGGAUG
rnacentral:rRNA from 1 species